rnacentral:rRNA from 1 species
GCUUGCUACUUUUGCCGGCGAGCGGCGGACGGGUGAGUAAUGCCUGGGAAAUUGCCCAGUCGAGGGGGAUAACAGUUGGAAACGACUGCUAAUACCGCAUACGCCCUACGGGGGAAAGCAGGGGACCUUCGGGCCUUGCGCGAUUGGAUAUGCCCAGGUGGGAUUAGCUAGUUGGUGAGGUAAUGGCUCACCAAGGCGACGAUCCCUAGCUGGUCUGAGAGGAUGAUCAGCCACACUGGAACUGAGACACGGUCCAGACUCCUACGGGAGGCAGCAGUGGGGAAUAUUGCACAAUGGGGGAAACCCUGAUGCAGCCAUGCCGCGUGUGUGAAGAAGGCCUUCGGGUUGUAAAGCACUUUCAGCGAGGAGGAAAGGUUGAUGCCUAAUACGUAUCAACUGUGACGUUACUCGCAGAAGAAGCACCGGCUAACUCCGUGCCAGCAGCCGCGGUAAUA